AUUGAACGCUGGCGGCAGGCCUAACACAUGCAAGUCGAGCGGAUGAGUGGAGCUUGCUCCAUGAUUCAGCGGCGGACGGGUGAGUAAUGCCUAGGAAUCUGCCUGGUAGUGGGGGACAACGUUUCGAAAGGAACGCUAAUACCGCAUACGUCCUACGGGAGAAAGUGGGGGAUCUUCGGACCUCACGCUAUCAGAUGAGCCUAGGUCGGAUUAGCUAGUUGGUGAGGUAAAGGCUCACCAAGGCGACGAUCCGUAACUGGUCUGAGAGGAUGAUCAGUCACACUGGAACUGAGACACGGUCCAGACUCCUACGGGAGGCAGCAGUGGGGAAUAUUGGACAAUGGGCGAAAGCCUGAUCCAGCCAUGCCGCGUGUGUGAAGAAGGUCUUCGGAUUGUAAAGCACUUUAAGUUGGGAGGAAGGGCAGUAAGUUAAUACCUUGCUGUUUUGACGUUACCAACGGAAUAAGCACCGGCUAACUCUGUGCCAGCCGCCGCAGUAAUAC
rnacentral:rRNA from 1 species